ACGAGGCACUACGGUGCUGAAGCGACAAAUGCCCUGCUUCCAGGAAAAGCCUCUAAGCAUCAGGUAACAUCAAAUCGUACCCCAAACCGACACAGGUGGUCAGGUAGAGAAUACCAAGGCGCUUGAGAGAACUCGGGUGAAGGAACUAGGCAAAAUGGUGCCGUAACUUCGGGAGAAGGCACGCUGAUAUGUAGGUGAAGCGACUUGCUCGUGGAGCUGAAAUCAGUCGAAGAUACCAGCUGGCUGCAACUGUUUAUUAAAAACACAGCACUGUGCAAACACGAAAGUGGACGUAUACGGUGUGACGCCUGCCCGGUGCCGGAAGGUUAAUUGAUGGGGUCAGCGCAAGCGAAGCUCUUGAUCGAAGCCCCGGUAAACGGCGGCCGUAACUAUAACGGUCCUAAGGUAGCGAAAUUCCUUGUCGGGUAAGUUCCGACCUGCACGAAUGGCGUAAUGAUGGCCAGGCUGUCUCCACCCGAGACUCAGUGAAAUUGAACUCGCUGUGAAGAUGCAGUGUACCCGCGGCAAGACGGAAAGACCCCGUGAACCUUUACUAUAGCUUGACACUGAACACUGGUCCUUGAUGUGUAGGAUAGGUGGGAGGCUUUGAAGUGUGGACGCCAGUCUGCAUGGAGCCGUCCUUGAAAUACCACCCUUUAAUGGCUGGUGUUCUAACGUGGGCCCGUAAUCCGGGUUGCGGACAGUGUCUGGUGGGUAGUUUGACUGGGGCGGUCUCCUCCUAAAGAGUAACGGAGGAGCACGAAGGUUGGCUAAUCCUGGUCGGACAUCAGGAGGUUAGUGCAAUGGCAUAAGCCAGCUUGACUGCGAGCGUGACGGCGCGAGCAGGUGCGAAAGCAGGUCAUAGUGAUCCGGUGGUUCUGAAUGGAAGGGCCAUCGCUCAACGGAUAAAAGGUACUCCGGGGAUAACAGGCUGAUACCGCCCAAGAGUUCAUAUCGACGGCGGUGUUUGGCACCUCGAUGUCGGCUCAUCACAUCCUGGGGCUGAAGUAGGUCCCAAGGGUAUGGCUGUUCGCCAUUUAAAGUGGUACGCGAGCUGGGUUUAGAACGUCGUGAGACAGUUCGGUCCCUAUCUGCCGUGGGCGCUGGAGAACUGAGGGGGGCUGCUCCUAGUACGAGAGGACCGGAGUGGACGCAUCACUGGUGUUCGGGUUGUCAUGCCAAUGGCACUGCCCGGUAGCUAAAUGCGGAAGAGAUAAGUGCUGAAAGCAUCUAAGCACGAAACUUGCCCCGAGAUGAGUUCUCCCUGAGACUUAGAGUCUCCUGAAGGAACGUUGAAGACGACGACGUUGAUAGGCCGGGUGUGUAAGCGCAGCGAUGCGUUGAGCUAACCGGUACUAAUGAACCGUGAGG
rnacentral:rRNA from 1 species